AGUUGGGUGGCCGAUUAAAGCGUUAGAUUGUAAAUUUAAUUAUAGAGUUUCUCUCCUUAC
rnacentral:tRNA from 1 species